rnacentral:lncRNA from 1 species
GAGAGGAAAAUGAUAGAAAACAUUCUGUCUUUGAAGCACUCCAGCCAUUUGUUCCCACUGAGCUUGGCUCUGGCUUGUGGAUAGAUUCCACGACUUGGGAACUGAGUCAACACAUGGCGUAUCACUGAGACAGAGCAGCCCCAGAACACAUACCGGGGAGUACAGGAGCCUAGGCCACGUACCCAACAUUGUAGGCAGAGAAAAAAGAAAGUGUAUUCCAUGGUGGUGCAUUCCAGGCCUUAGAAUAAAAUUAAAAGGGAAAUCAAUGAAGACACAUCCACUGUUAACACUCUCAUCUUCAAUGUUUGACCAGUGGCUGAACUGUUUGGAGUUGCAGAUCGAUAUUUCUCUUUUAUAGUUUUAGGUGCUUGUAAUUGCUCUUUAAUGCUCAUGUUUACUCUUAUUCUGUGUGUCUUUAACUCAUAAAGACAGUUUUCCAUGAG